UACGGAGGGGACUAGCGUUGUUCGGAAUUACUGGGCGUAAAGCGCACGUAGGCGGAUUUGCAAGUCAGGGGUGAAAUCCCGGGGCUCAACCUCGGAACUGCCUUUGAUACUGCAAAUCUCGAGUCCGGAAGAGGUGAGUGGAAUUCCUAGUGUAGAGGUGAAAUUCGUAGAUAUUAGGAAGAACACCAGUGGCGAAGGCGGCUCACUGGUCCGGUACUGACGCUGAGGUGCGAAAGCGUGGGGAGCAAACAGG
rnacentral:rRNA from 1 species